ensembl:misc_RNA
AUGAAAGGUACUGGAUUGACAGCCAUAAAGACAAAUGCCAUGUAUUAAUCUACAGAACAGUGCAAGCUUUGCCCCACUGCCCCACCAAGGUAUAUCAAUUCUGAUCUGGAGGGACCACCUCUAAGGUUAAGAGGGUGGUUCAUUCCUCUUACUCAGCCAAUCUCUGGACUCU